UUUUCGUAGGUGAACCUGCGGAAGGAUCAUUAACGAGUGCGCCUCCGGGCCAUCUCCACCCUUUGAAUGCCAACUUAGUUGCUUUGGCGGGCCGCGGCCCUGCUGCCGCCGGCUUCGGCUGGCGAGCGCUCGCCAGAGGCUUUUAAUUCUUAUCUUGCAUGAGUCUGAGCAAUUUAAAAUGCGAAAAACUUUCAACAACGGAUCUCUUGGUUCUGGCAUCGAUGAAGAACGCAGC
rnacentral:misc_RNA from 1 species